GGGCCCGCACAAGCGGUGGAGCAUGUGGUUCAAUUCGACGCAACGCGAAGAACCUUACCUGGGCUCGAAAUGCUGUGGACACUUCCUGGAAACAGGGAUUUCCCGCAAGGGACUGCAGUAUAGGUGCUGCAUGGCUGUCGUCAGCUCGUGUCGUGAGAUGUUGGGUUAAGUCCCGCAACGAGCGCAACCCUCGUCCUGUGUUGCUAACCGAAAGGUGCACUCUCAGGAGACUGCCGGCGAUAAGCUGGAGGAAGGUGGGGAUGACGUCAAGUCAUCAUGGCCUUUAUGUCCAGGGCUACACACGUGCUACAAUGGACGGUACAAACCGCUGCAAACCCGCGAGGGGGAGCUAAUCGGAGAAAACCGUUCUCAGUUCGGAUCGCAGGCUGCAACUCGCCUGCGUGAAGCUGGAAUCGCUAGUAAUGGCGUAUCAGAAUGACGCCGUGAAUACGUUCCCGGGCCUU
rnacentral:rRNA from 1 species